UAAUGUAUGGGGAUCUGCCCGAUAGAGGGGGAUAACCACUGGAAACGGUGGCUAAUACCGCAUAAUGUCUACGGACCAAAGCAGGGGCUCUUCGGACCUUGCACUAUCGGAUGAACCCAUAUGGGAUUAGCUAGUAGGUGGGGUAAAGGCUCACCUAGGCGACGAUCUCUAGCUGGUCUGAGAGGAUGAUCAGCCACACUGGGACUGAGACACGGCCCAG
rnacentral:rRNA from 1 species